rnacentral:rRNA from 1 species
GCUGACUGUGUGCUGGAUUCGCCCUUGGAGUUUGAUCCUGGCUCAGAAUCAACGCUGGCGGCGUGCCUAACACAUGCAAGUCGAGCGGGAAAGGGGGCUUCGGCCCCUGAGUAUAGCGGCGGACGGGUGAGUAACACGUGGGUAAUUUGCCCUUGGGUGUGGAAUAACUCAGGGAAACUUGAGCUAAUACCGCAUGACAUCCUUUGCUCACAGGAGUUGAGGAUCAAAGCCGGGGACCCUUCGGGGCCUGGCGCCUGAGGAGAAGCCCGCGCCCGAUUAGCUAGUUGGUGAGGUAAUGGCUCACCAAGGCAACGAUCGGUAGCCGGCCUGAGAGGGCGGACGGCCACACUGGGACUGAGACACGGCCCAGACUCCUACGGGAGGCAGCAGUGGGGAAUUUUUGUCAAUGGGGGAAACCCUGAACAAGCAACGCCGCGUGAAGGACGAAGACCUUCGGGUUGUAAACUUCUGUCGGAGGGGACGAAAGCGGUCGAGGCUAACAUCCUCGGCCGUUGACGGUACCCUACGAGGAAGCCCCGGCUAACUCCGUGCCAGCAGCCGCGGUAAUACGGGGGGGGCAAGCGUUGUUCGGAAUUACUGGGCGUAAAGGGCGCGUAGGCGGGCGGACAAGUCUCUCGUGAAAGCCCACGGCUCAACCGUGGAAUUGCGGGAGAUACUGUCUGUCUUGAGUCCGGGAGAGGAGGGUGGAAUUCCCAGUGUAGCGGUGAAAUGCGUAGAUAUUGGGAGGAACACCGGUGGCGAAGGCGGCUCUCUGGACCGGUACUGACGCUGAGGCGCGAAAGCUAGGGGAGCAAACGGGAUUAGAUACCCCGGUAGUCCUAGCCGUAAACGAUGAGCACUUGGUGUAGCGGGUAUCGACCCCCGCUGUGCCGAAGC